CGGCAGGCUUAACACAUGCAAGUCGAGGGCAGUCAUGAAGGUUAGCAAUAACCUUUGAUGGCGACCGGCGCAAGGGUGCGUAACGCGUGAGCAACUUGCCCGUUUCUCGGGGGAAUAACCGGUGGAAACGCCGACUAAUACCCCAUGGCAUCAGUUGAAGGCAUCUUCUACUGAUUAAAGAAUUUCGGAAACGGAUAGGCUCGCGUGACAUUAGCUAGAUGGCGGGGUAACGGCCCACCAUGGCGACGAUGUCUAGGGGUUCUGAGAGGAAGGUCCCCCACACUGGAACUGAGACACGGUCCAGACUCCUACGGGAGGCAGCAGUGAGGAAUAUUGGACAAUGGAUGGAAAUCUGAUCCAGCCAUGCCGCGUGAAGGAUUACGGUCCUAUGGAUUUUAAACUUCUUUUUGUAUGGGAGCAAUAAGGGGCACGCGUGCUCUGAUGAGAGUACCAUACGAAUAAGCAUCGGCUAACUCCGUG
rnacentral:rRNA from 1 species